GACGGAAGGUGCAAGCGUUGCUCGGAAUCACUGGGCGUAAAGGGCGCGUAGGCGGCCGCGCAAGUCUGGUGUGAAAGCCCCGGGCUCAGCCCGGGAAGGGCGCUCGAAACGGCGCGGCUCGAGUGCCGGAGGGGAGAGUGGAAUUCCUGGUGUAGCGGUGAAAUGCGUAGAUAUCAGGAGGAAUACCGGUGGCGAAAGCGGCUCUCUGGACGGCAACUGACGCUGAGGCACGAAAGCGUGGGGAGCAAACAGG
rnacentral:rRNA from 1 species